rnacentral:rRNA from 1 species
GAUGAACGCUGGCGGCGUGCCUAAUACAUGCAAGUCGAGCGAACAGACGAGGAGCUUGCUCCUCUGACGUUAGCGGCGGACGGGUGAGUAACACGUGGAUAACCUACCUAUAAGACUGGGAUAACUUCGGGAAACCGGAGCUAAUACCGGAUAAUAUAUUGAACCGCAUGGUUCAAUAGUGAAAGACGGUUUUGCUGUCACUUAUAGAUGGAUCCGCGCCGCAUUAGCUAGUUGUUAAGGUAACGGCUUACCAAGGCAACGAUGCGUAGCCGACCUGAGAGGGUGAUCGGCCACACUGGAACUGGGACACGGUCCAGACUCCUACGGGAGGCAGCAGUAGGGAAUCUUCCGCAAUGGGCGAAAGCCUGACGGAGCAACGCCGCGUGAGUGAUGAAGGUCUUCGGAUCGUAAAACUCUGUUAUUAGGGAAGAACAAAUGUGUAAGUAACUAUGCACGUCUUGACGGUACCUAAUCAGAAAGCCACGGCUAACUACGUG